rnacentral:lncRNA from 10 species
UCUAAAUUAUGGUUAGUGACUGAAGCAAAAAUUAAACUGUCUGAUAUGGUUCUACAUAUACAAGUAUAAAGAGGAAAUAUUUAAGACAGUUAUACUAUAAAUGAGGAAGACAAGAAGAUAUAAAUAAAGCGCAGGUUUGGCAGUAAACUGGGGAAAAAGCAACUUGAAUGGAAUCCAAGGCAUCGUUCUCUUCCACCUGUGAAACGGACCAAUCUCUAUGGUGUGGCCUGCACAGAGCUGCUUCAGGACUCACCACUGUUCACAGCCUCUUAGAAGUUUAGAAGAGGGAAGCCUUUCCUUUUAAAAAUUAUAAUUAAAAGUACAUUUACC